AACGAACGCUGGCGGCAUGCCUAACACAUGCAAGUCGAACGAGACCUUCGGGCCUAGUGGCGCACGGGUGCGUAACGCGUGGGAACCUGCCCUUAGGUUCGGAAUAACUCCCCGAAAGGGGUGCUAAUACCGGAUAAUGUCUUCGGACCAAAGAUUUAUCGCCUUUGGAUGGGCCCGCGUUGAAUUAGCUAGUUGGUAGGGUAAAAGCCUACCAAGGCGACGAUCCAUAGCUGGUCUGAGAGGAUGAUCAGCCACACUGGGACUGAGACACGGCCCAGACUCCUACGGGAGGCAGCAGUGGGUAAUAUUGGACAAUCGGCGAAAGCCUGAUCCAGCAAUGCCGCGUGAGUGAUGAAGGCCUUAGGGUUGUAAAGCUCUUUUACCCGGGAUGAUAAUGACAGUACCGGGAGAAUAAGCUCCGGCUAACUCCGUG
rnacentral:rRNA from 1 species